AGGAUAAAAGUUUUUUUAACAUUUAAUUUGCAAUUAAAAAAAAUUGUAUUUCAAUUUAUCUUA
rnacentral:tRNA from 1 species